rnacentral:rRNA from 4 species
ACGGGUGAGGAAUGCGUCGGAAUCUGCCUAUUUGUGGGGGAUAACGUAGGGAAACUUACGCUAAUACCGCAUACGACCUACGGGUGAAAGUGGGGGACCGCAAGGCCUCACGCAGAUAGAUGAGCCGACGCCGGAUUAGCUAGUUGGCGGGGUAAAGGCCCACCAAGGCGACGAUCCGUAGCUGGUCUGAGAGGAUGAUCAGCCACACUGGAACUGAGACACGGUCCAGACUCCUACGGGAGGCAGCAGUGGGGAAUAUUGGACAAUGGGCGCAAGCCUGAUCCAGCCAUGCCGCGUGUGUGAAGAAGGCCUUCGGGUUGUAAAGCACUUUUGUCCGGAAAGAAAACCUUUCGAUUAAUACUCGGGGGGAAUGACGGUACCGGAAGAAUAAGCACCGGCUAACUUCGUGCCAGCAGCCGCGGUAAUACGAAGGGUGCAAGCGUUACUCGGAAUUACUGGGCGUAAAGCGUGCGUAGGUGGUUUGUUAAGUCUGAUGUGAAAGCCCUGGGCUCAACCUGGGAACUGCAUUGGAAACUGGCUUACUAGAGUGCGGUAGAGGGUAGUGGAAUUCCCGGUGUAGC